UACGGAGGGUGCAAGCGUUAAUCGGAAUUACUGGGCGUAAAGCGCACGCAGGGUGGCUGAGUAAGUCGAUUGUGAAAGCCCUGGGCUUAACCUGGGAAUUGCAGUCGAUACUGCUCGGCUAGAGUAUGGGAGAGGGUAGUGGAAUUCCCGGUGUAGCGGUGAAAUGCGUAGAUAUCGGGAGGAACAUCAGUGGCGAGGGCGGCUACCUGGCCCAAUACUGACACUCAGGUGCGACAGCGUGGGGAGCAAACAGG
rnacentral:rRNA from 1 species